rnacentral:rRNA from 1 species
AGUGAACGCUGGCGGUAGGCCUAACACAUGCAAGUCGAACGAGUGGCGGACGGGUGGGGAAUACAUUGGAAUCUACUCAGUCGUCGGGGAUAACGUAGGGAAACCUACGCUACUACCGCAUACGACUGUAUGAGCCGAUGCCGGUUUAGCUAGUUGGCGGGGUAAAGGCCCACCAAGGCGACGAUCCGUAGCUGGUCUGAGAGGAUGAUCAGCCACACUGGAACUGAGACACGGUCCAGACUCCUACGGGAGGCAGCAGUGGGGAAUAUUGCACAAUGGGCGCAAGCCUGAUGCAGCCAUGCCGCGUGAAUGAAGAAGGCCUUCGGGUUGUAAAGUACUUUCAGCGGGGAGGCGUUACCCGCAGAGAAAGCACCGGCUAACUCCGUGCCAGCAGCCGCGGUAAUAC